GACGAACGCUGGCGGCGUGCUUAACACAUGCAAGUCGAGCGGUAAGGCCCUUUCGAGGGUACACGAGCGGCGAACGGGUGAGUAACACGUGGGUGACCUGCCCUCAGCUCUGGGAUAAGCCUGGGAAACCGGGUCUAAUACUGGAUAUGACUCCAUGACGCAUGUUGUGGGGUGGAAAGCCUUGUGCGGCUGAGGAUGGGCCCGCGGCCUAUCAGCUUGUUGGUGGGGUGAUGGCCUACCAAGGCGACGACGGGUAGCCGGCCUGAGAGGGCGACCGGCCACACUGGGACUGAGACACGGCCCAGACUCCUACGGGAGGCAGCAGUGGGGAAUCUUGCGCAAUGGGCGAAAGCCUGACGCAGCGACGCCGCGUGAGGGAUGACGGCCU
rnacentral:rRNA from 1 species